AAAAAUGAUAAAAUAAAGGCUUCUAACCUUUAAUAUUGCAUCUAAUGUAACAUUUUUC
rnacentral:tRNA from 1 species